AGUGAACGCUGGCGGUAGGCCUAACACAUGCAAGUCGAACGGCAGCACAGUAAGAGCUUGCUCUUACGGGUGGCGAGUGGCGGACGGGUGAGGAAUACAUCGGAAUCUACUUUUUCGUGGGGGAUAACGUAGGGAAACUUACUCUAAUACCGCAUACGACCUACGGGUGAAAGCAGGGGAUCUUCGGACCUUGCGCGAUUGAAUGAGCCGAUGUCGGAUUAGCUAGUUGGCGGGGUAAAGGCCCACCAAGGCGACGAUCCGUAGCUGGUCUGAGAGGCUGAUCAGCCACACUGGAACUGAGACACCGUCCAGACUCCUACGGGAGGCAGCAGUGGGGAAUAUUGGACAAUGGGCGCAAGCCUGGUCCAGCCAUACCGCGUGGGUGAAGAAGGCCUUCGGGUUGUAAAGCCCUUUUGUUGGGAAAGAAAAGCAGCAGGUUAAUACCCCGCUGUUCUGACGGUACCCAAAGAAUAAGCACCGGCUAACUUCGUG
rnacentral:rRNA from 1 species